UGGGGAAUUUUGGACAAUGGGCGAAAGCCUGAUCCAGCAAUGCCGCGUGUGUGAAGAAGGCCUUCGGGUUGUAAAGCACUUUUGUCCGGAAAGAAAUCCUUGGCUCUAAUACAGUCGGGGGAUGACGGUACCGGAAGAAUAAGCACCGGCUAACUACGUGCCAGCAGCCGCGGUAAUACGUAGGGUGCAAGCGUUAAUCGGAAUUACUGGGCGUAAAGCGUGCGCAGGCGGUUUGCUAAGACCGAUGUGAAAUCCCCGGGCUCAACCUGGGAACUGCAUUGGUGACUGGCAGGCUAGAGUAUGGCAGAGGGGGGUAGAAUUCCACGUNUAGCAGUGAAAUGCGUAGAGAUGUGGAGGAAUACCGAUGGCGAAGGCAGCCCCCAUGGGCCAAUACUGACGCUCAUGCACGAAAGCGUGGGGAGCAAACAGGAUUAGAUACCCUGGUAGUCCACGCCCUAAACGAUGUCAACUAGUUGUUGGGGAUUCAUUUCCUUAGUAACGUAGCUAACGCGUGAAGUUGACCGCCUGGGGAGUAC
rnacentral:rRNA from 1 species